AAUAAUAAUAAUACAGCCUCGAACCUUUGACACAAAAAGCGGAGAGUUUGAAUGAGUUCAUAAAAAGAAAAAUUCACCACAAGAUAUUAUUAGCUUUGAUGCUGUUGUUCCUUAAAGAGUUUUCCUAAGUGUUUAACUUGUACCAUUCUUGUUUUGUGUUUUCUUUACAGCCUGAAAUGGACACGAGCAGGCGGAGGUUCUUCUUAUGAUGAAUGCUGCUGUCUUCACCCAAGCUUUGUGUUUAUUUUUGUCUGAAGUUUUUACCCCCAAACCAAAUCUGUAGGUUACUUGCAUAGUUGCAUUGUUUGCAGAACUUCACAUUUCUUCUCAAUAUAAGUAUUUCAACAAUAUAGGUCGUGUUUGAUUCGAGUCUAGCAUUUUUAAGUAUGUGACUGCCUAGCCUAAGCCCACUGGACUUAUAAAUUGUCUUCCUGAAGAUUUACUCUUGUCGUCGGCGUCACUGGUGACGACUGUAUCGAGAAAGUAAUGACGUUUUUUUGGCCUACGUCAUCGAAAAGGAUUACUUCGCAAAAAGAUGCUUCAAAUUAAAAAUGAGCACUCAGUAAUUUAACAUCUCUCCACUAACAGCAAAAGAUGUUAUAUUUUGUACAUUUAGGCAA
rnacentral:lncRNA from 1 species